CUUGAGUUUAAAGUUGCAAUAGGAACUUUUUGCUAGCUUUUGCUGUUAGGAUUGUUAUUAGGGUACAGAUAAAAUAUUCUUUUCCUAAUGAAUCAUCUUUUCCUAAUGAAUAUUCCAGGUCUGCGGAGCUUUAUGACGUACUCUACCUAAUGUCGAGGGGAUGAAAAAGAACACCAGGUGAUGCGAUGCUGCAAAGCUCAGGUUAAUUUAGGAGGCCAAGCAAGGGACCAGCUCUGCCAGAAAUAGCUUUUCACACAUGCACAGCCUGUCAGCUGCCACCUCUCCUCCCCAAUACCUCAACUGGAUCUGGGAGGGCAGUUGUGGCAGUGAUUAACCUGACAUCUUUUGCCUGGAAUUAGAAAAUAUAUUUCAAAUGGGAAUUCAGAAGAAGGACGACUGCUUUCCCCGUGUCACCCCUGACAGCCCUGACAAUGGGGCUCAGAUGCCCUCAGGCACAAAAAUUGGCAUUAGAUUCUACAUUAUGGAAUAAUCCACGCAUCACAGAAGAGAGUUGGAAAAUCUCCUCAAGUAGUCCUCCUACCAUAUGGGAGAUGCUGCAAGCAAAUCUACAAAGAAGUUGUUUAAUGUUUCUUCUUCUGAGUUUCACAGAUGCUUUUUAAGCCUUCACAGCUGUCAUAUGCCAGCCUCUCUUGUGAUGUGUAGAAGUGGAAUACUACUGGAGAACCCUUCUAUGAUGAGUUUCAAGAUCUCCUUGUGCAGUCUGUUGGAUAUCUCCAAGAUGCUGCCUGCCCAGAGCACUUGCCCUGUACCAGCUGCCUAUCCCAGCAUAAGAGAAAGCCUGUCACUACUUUCUGAGAGGUGUCUGUAUGGGGUGAGUUGUAAAACCG
ensembl:lncRNA